rnacentral:rRNA from 1 species
UACAGAGGGUGCGAGCGUUGUUCGGAAUUAUUGGGCGUAAAGGCGCGUAGGCGGCGCCACAAGUCACCUGUGAAAACUCUGGGCUCAACCCAGAGCCUGCAGGCGAAACUGUGGUGCUGGAGUAUGGGAGAGGUGCGUGGAAUUCCCGGUGUAGCGGUGAAAUGCGUAGAGUAUCGGGAGGAACACCUGUGGCGAAAGCGGCGCACUGGACCAAUAACUGACGCUGAGGCGCGAAAGCUAGGGGAGCAAACAGG